AAAUCAAUACCUGAUCAAAACACAGUGGACUAUCAGACCCCAUUAUGAUGUUCAUUGUUUUUAAAAGAGUUGUGUGGUCACUGUUGACUAUCAUCUCUUUAUUCCUGUGUUUCAUAUCCACCGCUGCUGCUGAACCAAAAUCAGCAGUUGGUUCAGUUUUGGACUGUGAUCUUGAUAGCGACAUGUACAUCUGCACCGGUGCUCAAUACCUCAUGUACUGCAAUACAACAAUGCAUAAUUUCUACUACCAGAGAUACCAAAACCAAAAUCAAAACCAAUACCAAUACCAGUGCAUGAGCAAUGACUGUAUGUGUGUUGGUAAUAAGGACACCUGUGCAUGCUACUAUAACACUUCAUCCUGCUUCUGUGAAACUUUUAGCAAUAACACCACUGUCCUUACAGCAGUCAGGCCAGUUUUGGACUGUGAGCUUAAUAAUGACAUAUACAUUUGCAUUGGUGCUCAGUACCACAUGUACUGCAACACAGCAGUCCAUUAUUUUAGCUACUACAAAUAUCAGAACCAAAACCAAUAUCAGUACAGCUGCUGGAGUAAUAACUGUGACUGCCGUUUUAAUAAGGACUCCUGUUGGUGCUACAGUUAUACUUCAUCCUCCUGCUUCUGUACAAAUUACGGCUAUAGCAUCACUCUCUCUUCAUCACGUAAUCCAGUCACAGUCCUUGACUGUCUGCUUUAUAAUGACAUAUACAUCUGCACUGGUGCUCAAUACCGCAUGUACUGCAGUACAAGAUUGCAUAAUUUCUCCUACCAGAGAAAUCAAUACCAAUACCAAUGUUGGAGUAAUAAUUGUAACUGUGUUGGUAAUAAGGACACCUGUACAUGCUCUAUUAGCACUUUGUCCUCCUGCUUUUGUGAGACUUAUGGAAACAGCAUUGCUCUCCCUACAGCAGUUAGUCCAGUCACAGACCCCGACUGUGUGCUUCAUAAUGACAUGUACAUCUGCACUGGUGCUCAGUACCGCAUGUACUGCAACACAAGAAUGAAUGAUUUCUCCUACCAGAGAAAUAUGUACAAAUACCAGUACCAGUGUGUGAAUAAUAACUGUAACUGCAUUGGUAAUAAAGACACCUGUACAUGCUCUACUAGCAUUUUGUCCUCCUGCUUCUGUGAGAUUUACGGCAAUAUCAUUGCUCUCUUUACAGUAGCUACUCCAGCUUAUGGCUGUAUGCUUUAUAAUGAUACAUACAUCUGCACUGGUGCUCAGUACCGCAUGUACUGCAACACAAGAAUGCAUGAUUUCUAUUACCGGAGAUAUCAGAACCAAAACCAAUAUGUAUUACAAUGCUGGAAUAAUAACUGUAACUGUGUUGGUAAUCAAGACACCUGUACAUGCUCUAGUAGCACUUUGUCCUCCUGCUUCUGCGAGUAUAACAUCUCCAUCCCAACCACAAUCAGUCCAACUACUGCAGUUCCGAAUAUCACACUGCCGGAUCAAUGCAAGGUAAGAUGAAUAUUUCAAUUUACCCAGUGCACAAAGUCUUUUAGUUUUUAUUUAUAUAGCUCAAUUGUGAUUUCAGAGUCAGGCCUCAGAAGGGUGUCUUCAAAGUGUUCUUGAUCAAAUUGAGAACAUUACAGCUCAAGAGCUCCCUGUGACUGUAAGUCUUCAAGGGAAAAUAAAUGAACAAAUCAAAUCUCGAUAAUAGAUUGU
ensembl:lncRNA